GUGGGGAAUUUUGCGCAAUGGGGGAAACCCUGACGCAGCGACGCCGCGUGAAGGACGAAGGCCUUCGGGUUGUAAACUUCUUUUGUAGGGGAAGAUAGUGACGGUACCCUACGAAUAAGCCACGGCUAACUCUGUGCCAGCAGCCGCGGUAAGACAGAGGUGGCAAGCGUUGUUCGGAAUUACUGGGCUUAAAGGGCGCGUAGGCGGUAGGAUAAGUCUGAUGUGGAAGCCCACGGCUCAACCGUGGAAUUGCAUCGGAAACUGUUUUACUUGAGUCAGUGAGGGGAGGGCGGAAUUCCUGGUGUAGCAGUGAAAUGCGUAGAUAUCAGGAGGAAGGCCGGUGGCGAAGGCGGCCCUCUGGCACUUGACUGACGCUGAGGCGCGAAAGCGUGGGGAGCAAACAGGAUUAGAUACCCGAGUAGUCC
rnacentral:rRNA from 1 species